UUUGCGAGAGAUGGUUACCAGAGUCCCUUAAAUUUGAGAAGAAUUUACCCGCCUAUGCCAUUAGAUAAAUAGUUACUCGCCUCUUAUUUUUUCUGGCUCGAACCGGUCCUCACCUGCGACUCUGGGAGGCGACCUCGCGAGGGCGAUUAAGGUUUCCGCCGCCACCGCCGCCCGUCGCCGCCGCCCGUCGUCAUGCGGAGAACACCCCCUUCGUUACCUUUCUUGUGAUCAUAAGCCCGCCGGUCCGCCGCCGGUUCCUCCGUCUUCCCCGCCCUGUCCGGUCGACUUUGCCCCAUCUGGUCGACGCCGCCUCCUCCGUCGUCCCCGCCCGGCCGCCCCUUCCGUUGACUCUGCAUCCUCCAUCGUCCCUACCCGCUGCCUCCUCCGUCGACGUUUCACCCGCAGGUCCGCUGCCCCCGGCGUGGACGCCGCCGCCUCAAUCUGGCCCCCGUCCUCUGCCUCAAUCCGUGAUCUUGGUGAUUGUUCUUGAAAGCAUUUCACGGGAAGCUCUCCAGAGUUCGACAGUCAUAAAAUGUGUCCAAGUUCAGAACAACUGCAACUUGAAGGAUAGCUGCAAGUUGAAUUAUUUGCUGUACGAAUCUACUGUAUUGUGAUGAAUGUCCCUUUCAAACAUUGAAUUGUAGUUGUUAUGAUAGGAUGAACAGCUAAAAAGUUUAUGCGCACAUCUUUUCUGUGGUAUUUUGGCAUAAAUUGAGCUACUUGGCUACUGCAUUUGCUGUUUU